UAUACAUGCAGUCGAACGCUUUUUCUUUCACCGGAGCUUGCUCCACCGAAAGAAAAAGAGUGGCGAACGGGUGAGUAACACGUGGGUAACCUGCCCAUCAGAAGGGGAUAACACUUGGAAACAGGUGCUAAUACCGUAUAACACUAUUUUCCGCAUGGAAGAAAGUUGAAAGGCGCUUUUGCGUCACUGAUGGAUGGACCCGCGGUGCAUUAGCUAGUUGGUGAGGUAACGGCUCACCAAGGCAACGAUGCAUAGCCGACCUGAGAGGGUGAUCGGCCACACUGGGACUGAGACACGGCCCAGACUCCUACGGGAGGCAGCAGUAGGGAAUCUUCGGCAAUGGACGAAAGUCUGACCGAGCAACGCCGCGUGAGUGAAGAAGGUUUUCGGAUCGUAAAACUCUGUUGUUAGAGAAGAACAAGGAUGAGAGUAAAAUGUUCAUCCCUUGACGGUAUCUAACCAGAAAGCCACGGCUAACUACGUGCCAGCAGCCGCGGUAAUACGUAGGUGGCAAGCGUUGUCCGGAUUUAUUGGGCGUAAAGCGAGCGCAGGCGGUUUCUUAAGUCUGAUGUGA
rnacentral:rRNA from 1 species